AGAAAACGGAGGUAUUUUGAACUCACAUUUGGUAGAGCUAUUUUGGAAGCUCUACCGUAAUUUGCACGGACGGUACAAUCCCCGUCUCAGGAUUAGAGGUCCAACGUCUUUGGCACUCCAAUGGUAUGGUGGUAUGGAAAAAAUGGAAAAGAAGAAACUCCAAUGGUAUAGUAGAAAAGAAGAAACUCCAAUGGUAUAGUAGGACACGCU